rnacentral:rRNA from 1 species
AUUGAACGCUGGCGGCAGGCCUAACACAUGCAAGUCGAGCGAAUGGCGGGAGCUUGCUCCUUGAUUCAGCGGCGGACGGGUGAGUAAUGCCUAGGAAUCUGCCUGGUAGUGGGGGACAACGUUUCGAAAGGAACGCUAAUACCGCAUACGUCCUACGGGAGAAAGCAGGGGACCUUCGGGCCUUGCGCUAUCAGAUGAGCCUAGGUCGGAUUAGCUAGUUGGUGGGGUAAUGGCUCACCAAGGCGACGAUCCGUAACUGGUCUGAGAGGAUGAUCAGUGACACUGGAACUGAGACCCGGUCCAGACUCCUACGGGAGGCAGCAGUGGGGAAUAUUGGACAAUGGGCGAAAGCCUGAUCCAGCCAUGCCGCGUGUGUGAAGAAGGUCUUCGGAUUGUAAAGCACUUUAAGUUGGGAGGAAGGGCAGUAAGUUAAUACCUUGCUGUUUUGACGUUACCGACAGAAUAGGCACCGGCUAACUCUGUGCCAGCCGCCGCGGUAA